rnacentral:rRNA from 1 species
GACGAACGCUGGCGGCGUGCCUAAUACAUGCAAGUAGAACGCUGAAGGAGGAGCUUGCUUCUCUGGAUGAGUUGCGAACGGGUGAGUAACGCGUAGGUAACCUGCCUGGUAGCGGGGGAUAACUAUUGGAAACGAUAGCUAAUACCGCAUAAGAGUAGAUGUUGCAUGACAUUUGCUUAAAAGGUGCAAUUGCAUCACUACCAGAUGGACCUGCGUUGUAUUAGCUAGUUGGUGGGGUAACGGCUCACCAAGGCGACGAUACAUAGCCGACCUGAGAGGGGGAUCGGCCACACUGGGACGGAGACACGGCCCAGACUCCGACGGGAGGCAGCAGUAGGGAAUCAUCGGCAAUGGACGGAAGGCUGACCGGGCAACGCCGCGUGAGUGAAGAAGGGUUUCGGAUCGUAAAGCUCUGUUGUAAGGGAAGAACGAGUGUGAGAGUGGAAAGGUCACUCUGUGACGGUAGCUUACCAGAAAGGGACGGCUAACUACGUGC